GGAUGUGAGGGUGAUCUGGCUGCGAAAUCUGUCACUCCAUUAAUCGCCAGGGUUGAUUUGGCUGAUCUGGCUGGCUAGUAGGGUGUCCUCGUCCUCACUCAAUGAUCCAUGUGUGUCCCUCCCGAAGCUGCGCGCUCGGUCGAAGAGGACGACCACCCCCGAUAGAGGAGGACCGUUCCUCGGUCAGGGGUAUACGAGUAGCUGCGCUCCCCUGCUAGAACCUCCAAACAAGCUCUCCAGAGGAGGUCCCAGUAGUUAAUUAUUUCAAGUGUUACCCAUGCAAUUUGAUU
rnacentral:snRNA from 1 species